AUGGGUGCUUUGGAUGUUUACAAUCAUUAUAAAUUUUACCAUUUUUUCUCUAUCUGCUUUGGCCUGGGCUGUGGACUUUCACUCUACAGGCCAUUUUACUCCGUUGUGGUGCCGUCAGUUCUUGGCGUGUUCUUCACAGUAGUUUUUGAAUGUGUGGGUGCAUCCUUUGGUUUGCCAGCACAUACUAAAAGAUGUAAGGGUCGACCUUACCACUGGAAAGAUGUUAUCUGGGGUUAUUGUAUGGCUUUCUUUGUGACUCUCCUCCAUCUCAGGACUUAUCAUGUCUAUACUCUGUCUUUUGGCUGUGGCCUUGCUGUGUUUGCUAUAAGAGGAGCAAUACGCAAAUAUAAUGCUCUAUGGUGA
rnacentral:lncRNA from 1 species